rnacentral:piRNA from 1 species
UGACAAUUGGGGUAACUAUGCCAAGC